GGGCUGCUUAGAGGUCCGCACGCGGUUCCGAUGAACUUACUCGACCCGUGGACCCGAGCGACGGAGGCGACCGGCGCGCCACCUGCCGCCGAAACAGGCGGGCUCACUCCUAGACCUUCCUCCGCCUCCCCGACGACAUUGUCUUCGACACCGAUCCCGACUUCAGCAUCUCCGGCAUCGACUUCCCCUCGCUCUCCGACGACAACGUCUCCGGCGGCGACGCAGGCGCCGUGGGCGGUGGGCUUUCCGCGGAGCCCGGGAUGUCGGAUCAGCCUGCGGUUGCGUGUAGGCCUGUCCCCGGGGCCCAUCUCCGCAUUUUCUCGGUGGGCGCCGCGUUCUUCGAUAGCUUGGGAUAUGUGGCCGGAAGUGGCGGCGGGGCGCAGGAAAGGAAGGGGCCCAAUCGGCGGAGCGGCUCGAUAUGGCCGUUCGAUGGGGAGUCGACGCCUCCUCUUUCGGAUUACGCGAAGAAGGCCAUGACGACGGCCGAUAAGCUCGUGGAGUUGGCGUUGAUCGAUCCCAAGAGAGCAAAAAGGAUUCUUUGAACAGGCAAUCCGCUGCUCGUUCGAAGGAGAGGAAGAUUCAUUUCACAAGUGAACUUGGAAUGAAGGGUGCAAACUCUUCAGACAGAGGCAACCACUCUUUCUGGCCUGCUCACACUUCUGCAGAGAGACAAUACAGAUUUGAAUGCCGAGAACAGAGAACACAAACUGCGGUUGCAGGCUAUGGAGCAACAGGCCCAACUUCGUGAUGCUCCGAAUGAAGCUAUGAGAGAAGAAGUGCAGCGGCUUAAGAUAGCAACUGGACAACUUCCAACCGCAAAUGGACAUCCUCUUAACCGAGGGCUUCUGCAUCAUGCAUCAAACUAUUACUCUCACCCACAGCAAUUACCUCCCCUGAGUGGGCGUCAAGCACAGCAUCCGCAUCCAUCUCAAACGCAAAGUUCUUCGAAUGGUCAGUCACCCAGUGUUCAUCCCCCUAAUGAUCCCAUGGACAUGUGAGCCCAAGGUCACCAAUAUGAUACAAUACAUAGCACAUUUACAAGCCCUAGUUCUGGAUAGAUUUGUAGUGAUGAGAUAAGGUAGACUAAAGGUCAUUCAUGCUGAAUGUAGAUUAUACUACCUUGUUAAAGAGCUGUUCUCCUUUAGAUUAUGUCUCUAAUUGGUAUGUUUCAAGUGAACAGUCUGUUGGCUGUCGCUAAUUCUGCACAGAGUUGAUAGGGAGAUUACCUAUCGACAUGACGAUGAAUGUGUUCUAGAAAAAUCAUCUUUUAUUUUUUAA